rnacentral:tRNA from 1 species
GGCGGGCGUGGCCAAGUGGUUUAAGGCAUUGGGUUGUGGCUCCAAGAUGCGCGGGUUCAAAUCCCGUCGUUCGCC